rnacentral:rRNA from 1 species
GAACGCUGGCGGCAUGCCUUACACAUGCAAGUCGAACGGCAGCGGGCCCUUCGGGGUGCCGGCGAGUGGCGAACGGGUGAGUAAUGCAUCGGAACGUACCCGGGAGUGGGGGAUAACCGGCCGAAAGGCUGGCUAAUACCGCAUGAACUCGGAAGAGCAAAGCGGGGGACCUUCGGGCCUCGCGCUCUCGGAGCGGCCGAUGUCCGAUUAGCUAGUUGGUGAGGUAAAGGCUCACCAAGGCGACGAUCGGUAGCGGGUCUGAGAGGACGAUCCGCCACACUGGGACUGAGACACGGCCCAGACUCCUACGGGAGGCAGCAGUGGGGAAUCUUGGACAAUGGGSGMAASCCUGAUCCAGCAAUGCCGCGUGGGUGAAGAAGGCCUUCGGGUUGUAAAGCCCUUUCGGCGGGGAAGAAAUCGGCCGGGCGAAUAGUUYGGCUGGAUGACGGUACCCGCAGAAGAAGCACCGGCUAACUACGUGCCAGCCGCCGCGGUAAUACA